UACGUAGGGGGCAAGCGUUGUCCGGAUUUAUUGGGCGUAAAGAGCGUAUAGGCGGCUAUGCAGGUCCGCUGUGAAAACUCGAGGCUCAACCUCGAGACGUCGGUGGAAACCGCAUGGCUAGAGUCCGGAAGAGGAGAGUGGAAUUCCCGGUGUAGCGGUGAAAUGCGCAGAUAUCGGGAAGAACACCCGUGGCGAAGGCGGCUCUCUGGGACGGUACUGACGCUGAGACGCGAAAGCGUGGGGAGCGAACAGG
rnacentral:rRNA from 1 species